ACGGGGGAAAUUUGGCAAGAAGAUGGCUUAGUGCCUUCGGGAACCGUGAGACAGGUGCUGCAUGGCUGUCGUCAGCUCGUGUUGUGAAAUGUUGGGUUAAGUCCCGCAACGAGCGCAACCCUUAUCCUUUGUUGCCAGCACGUAAUGGUGGGAACUCAAAGGAGACUGCCGGUGAUAAACCGGAGGAAGGUGGGGAUGACGUCAAGUCAUCAUGGCCCUUACGAGUAGGGCUACACACGUGCUACAAUGGCAUAUACAAAGAGAAGCGAACUCGCGAGAGCAAGCGGACCUCAUAAAGUAUGUCGUAGUCCGGAUUGGAGUCUGCAACUCGACUCCAUGAAGUCGGAAUCGCUAGUAAUCGUAGAUCAGAAUGCUACGGUGAAUACGUUCCCGGGUCUUGUACACACCGA
rnacentral:rRNA from 1 species